GACGAACGCUGGCGGCGUGCUUAACACAUGCAAGUCGAACGGAAAGGCCCUGCUUUUGUGGGGUGCUCGAGUGGCGAACGGGUGAGUAACACGUGAGUAACCUGCCCUUGACUUUGGGAUAACUUCAGGAAACUGGGGCUAAUACCGGAUAGGAGCUCCUGCUGCAUGGUGGGGGUUGGAAAGUUUCGGCGGUUGGGGAUGGACUCGCGGCUUAUCGGCUUGUUGGUGGGGUAGUGGCUUACCAAGGCUUUGACGGGUAGCCGGCCUGGGAGGGUGACCGGCCACAUUGGGACUGAGAUACGGCCCAGACUCGUACGGGAGGCAGCAGGGGGGAAUAUUGCACAAUGGGCGGAAGCCUGAUGCAGCAACGCCGCGUGCGGGAUGACGGCCUUCGGGUUGUAAACCGCUUUCGCCUGUGACGAAGCGUGAGUGACGGUAAUGGGUAAAGAAGCACCGGCUAACUACGUG
rnacentral:rRNA from 1 species